UGGAGAAGGAGGAUGAUGAAGCAAAGGUGGAGGGAGGUGAAAGGGAGGAUGAUGGGAACGAGGAUUCUAAAGCAAAGACGCUGCUGGGAUCUUGGGAGUCAGAGGCCUGCGCUGAUGUGAAGCCUCCGCUGCCAGACCCGGCGUUCAACAGGAGAUGCAGCCUCCUCGCCAGUGAUGUCAGAUAUAAGGAGGACUUCGAAGGAAGAUGAAGGGACAGAGUCUGUUUGUUCCCGGAGCCGAACUCAUCCACGCCAAGAAACAUCAGCGCU